rnacentral:rRNA from 1 species
UACAGAGGUCCCGAGCGUUGUUCGGAUUCAUUGGGCGUAAAGGGUGCGUAGGCGGCGGGGCAAGUCUGAUGUGAAAAUCCCGGGGCUCAACCCCCGGAACUGCAUUGGAUACUGCCUUGCUUGAGUACUGGAGAGGGAACUGGAAUUUACGGUGUAGCAGUGAAAUGCGUAGAGAUCGUAAGGAAGGCCAGUGGCGAAGGCGAGUUCCUGGACAGUGACUGACGCUGAGGCACGAAAGGCCAGGGGAGCAAAACGGGG